rnacentral:rRNA from 1 species
GUUGCCAGCGGUCCGGCCGGGAACUCAAAGGAGACUGCCAGUGAUAAACUGGAGGAAGGUGGGGAUGACGUCAAGUCAUCAUGGCCCUUACGACCAGGGCUACACACGUGCUACAAUGGCGCAUACAAAGAGAAGCGACCUCGCGAGAGCAAGCGGACCUCAUAAAGUGCGUCGUAGUCCGGAUUGGAGUCUGCAACUCGACUCCAUGAAGUCGGAAUCGCUAGUAAUCGUGGAUCAGAAUGCCACGGUGAAUACGUUCCCGGGCCUUGUACACACCGCCCGUCACACCAUGGGAGUGGGUUGCAAAAGAAGUAGGUAGCUUAACCUUCGGGAGGGCGCUUACCACUUUGUGAUUCAUGACUGGGGUGAAGUCGUAACAAGGUAACCGUAGGGGAACCUGCGGUUGGAUCAC